GAUUGGUGUUCUUAUAAAAAGGGGAAUUUGGAUGCACACUCACACAAACAGGGAGAACGCCGUGUGAAGAUGAAGGCAGAGCUCAGGGUGACGCAUCCACGAGCCCAGGAACACCAAAGACGGUCAGCAAACCCUCAGGAGCUCGGAGCGGCGUGCACAGAGUCUCCCUCCCAGCCCUCAGAAGGAACCAGCCCUGCCAACACCUUGAUCCCCAACCUGCAGCCUCCAGAACUGAUGGGAGGACACAGCGAGAAGGCAGAGACUGCAAGCCAGGAAGAGUUCCUCCCCAGACUCUGCGCCCGCUGGCACCUCGAUCUUGGACUUCCAGCCUCCAAAAACGUGUACGAUCUUUCGAGGGAGAGAUGCCACGCAUGGACCAGGUACAGACAGCGUGAGGCUGAGCGCCGACAUGAAUGAUAGAGGACGGAGCAGGGAGGGGCCGGCUGCCAGGGCGCUGCAGGGCUGACCCCUGCACAUCCACGGGGUCCAGAAGAGGGAGAGCAGUCUCGUCACUGAAGACGGGGGCUCCUCCUGCUGCCGACAGGCUGACCUGUGUAACUAAUAUCGUGGAAAAGACGGAGCGUGACUCCUGAGGCUAGAUCAUACAGGACAUUGCCCCACCCGCCAUGCUGUCUCAUGGACAAUUUGCUCUGGGGGAAGCCUGCGCGGUCUUCUGAGGACCCCCAACAGCUCCCCGUGGCGAGGUCCACGCGUGAAGAACUGAGGCCUCCUGCCAACAGCCAGCAUCCACUUGCCCGUCGUGUGCAUGAACCACGCUGGAAGUGGACCCUCCUGCCCCAGUCAAGCCUUCAGACGGCUGUAGGCUGUGCCGACAUCUGCCUGCAAUCUCGAGAGAGACUCUGAGCCAGAAACAUCCAGCUCAGCCACUCCUGGACUCCUGACCCACCAAAACUGCAUAAGAUGAGACAUGUUUAUUGUUGAAGCCUCUAAGUUUUGUAGUAAUUUAUUAUGCAGCAAUGGGUAACUAAGACACGCAGAAGUCAUCAGACUUCUCUUUGUCCCCUUGUGCUGUUCCACCAUGGAGCAUUCUCAGAUUCUCCAGGAGAGUGAGCUGCUCUGGCCUUUGUGUUCCCACAGCGUGUGGCUUUUCCCUUGAAUUCACCUUUAUUUCUAAACUGUGUUAAAGUUGUUUCUUUCCUUGUUGGCCUCUUUCACUUGAGGAUGAGCUCCUUGAGAGCAAUGUUUUUUUUUGUUCCUUUUUCUCCCCAAAGCCCUCCGGUACAUAGUUGUAUAUUCUUCGCUGUGGGUUCUUCCAGUUGUGGCAUGUGGGACGCUGCCUCAGCGUGGUUUGAUGAGCAGUGCCAUAUCUGGGCCCAGGAUUCGAACCAACGAAACACUGGGCCGCCUGCAGCGGAGCGCGAGAACUUAACCACUCGGCCACGGGGCCAGCCCCGAGGCCAAUGGUUUGAUCUGGCUUACCCUCAUAACCCUCAUAUUCUGUGGCAUAGUUUGAUGCUAAUAGUAAACACUUACAUAGCUCUUACUUCAUCCUGCUUGGUUCUAACAGCUUUGUAUCUGUUAACACACUUAAUCCUCACAUAACCUCUAAUAAGGGUACUGCUAUUAGCCUCAGUUUUAUAUCUGAGGAAACUGGGGCACAGAGAGGUUAAGUAACAUGCCCAAGUUUACAUAGC
ensembl:lncRNA